CCAUCAUAGUUGGUCAAUGCGAUUACUCCCUAGUUGGAAUAUCAGAAUACCGGCGUUUU
rfam:Lactobacillus crispatus ST1 complete genome, strain ST1